UGGGGAAUUGUUCGCAAUGGGCGCAAGCCUGACGACGCAACGCCGCGUGGAGGACGAAGAUCUUCGGGUCGUAAACUCCUGUCGAGCGGGACGAACGCUUCGCGGAUGAAUAAUCCGUGGAAUUGACGGUACCGCUAAAGGAAGCCCCGGCUAACUCCGUGCCAGCAGCCGCGGUAAUACGGGGGGGGCAAGCGUUGUUCGGAAUUACUGGGCGUAAAGGGCUCGUAGGUGGCCAACUAAGUCGGAUGUGAAAUCCCCAGGCUCAACUUGGGAACUGCAUCCGAUACUGGAUGGCUUGAAUCCGGGAGAGGGAUGCAGAAUUCCAGGUGUAGCGGUGAAAUGCGUAGAUAUCUGGAGGAAUACCGGUGGCGAAGGCGGCAUCCUGGACCGGCAUUGACACUGAGGAGCGAAAGCCAGGGGAGCAAACGG
rnacentral:rRNA from 1 species